AGGGGAGGGCCGGAUCUUGGGCUGUAUCCCCCAGCUCCCUUGGCUCCGGGGCCUGCACCGCUGGAAUCGCGCUCCAGGGGCAACGCAGCCCCCU
rnacentral:pre_miRNA from 1 species